rnacentral:rRNA from 1 species
AUUGAACGCUGGCGGCAUGCCUUACACAUGCAAGUCGAACGGUAACAGGUCUUCGGAUGCUGACGAGUGGCGAACGGGUGAGUAAUGCAUCGGAACGUGCCCAGUAGUGGGGGAUAGCCCGGCGAAAGCCGGAUUAAUACCGCAUACGACCUGAGGGUGAAAGGGGGGGAUCGCAAGACCUCUCGCUAUUGGAGCGGCCGAUGUCAGAUUAGCUAGUUGGUGGGGUAAAGGCCUACCAAGGCAACGAUCUGUAGUUGGUUUGAGAGGACGACCAGCCACACUGGGACGGAGACACGGCCCAGACUCCUACGGGAGGCAGCAGUGGGGAAUUUUGGACAAUGGGCGCAAGCCUGAUCCAGCAAUGCCGCGUGCAGGAAGAAGGCCUUCGGGUUGUAAACUGCUUUUGUCAGGGAAGAAAUCUUCUGGGUUAAUACCUCGGGAGGAUGACGGUACCUGAAGAAUAAGCACCGGCUAACUACGUGCCAGCAGCCGCCGUAACAC